AUGAAACUUGUGUUAAAUCCAGCUGACGCUUCUCUCUUACUGAGAUACAAUCACUCACAUUAUCCGUAUGUGUGUGAGUUGGUCUGGAAUUACUUUAUUGCUGCUGACUAUGGUGUUUUGUUUCCAUGGAAACUGCUCGGACCCAUUCCCUUUGCCACUGAGGAGAUGAGGUGUAGGUGGGGGGAGUUUAGACUGACCACAGCUGUCAUGUGACACUGAGAAGACUUCACUCCACUCGGCUCAUCUCCAUCCUCCUCUCUGACCCCAUGAGCGCACGUCUGUCUCCAUGGAGAGGUGAGGGCUCCUGCUGGAAUGUUCUCUCUUUCUCUGAAAGAAUUGAUUAAUAGAUCGACACCCUGCAAAAAUAGAAACAGUCUUUAUGUUGCUAGUUUAAAGACUCAACGGUUCCUCACAUCUGGCAUGACACAGAGCUUUGCAGUAUUUGAGAGACAUUUAUAAAUAGCUUGAUGGCAGAAGGUGUUAUUUAUAUUUGUAGGGUCUGAUAAAUGCAAGACGUUUCCUGCCUCCACCCACGCUGACUUCUCCUUUUUGGGCUUGAUGUGUUAGAUCAUUAGCACUUUAAAGCAGUUUCUACUCACUAUUUCUUAUGGUAGUUACUAAACUCCAUACUGUAUGAUAGUGUGCUAGUUCCAAUUCACACUAUUUCAAUCUCGAAGUCUCUAACUAUUUCAGUCUCUAAUUUCCAAUCACCAAUUUCAGUCUCUGUUGGUUCUGGAAGCUUAAGUGGUGGAGCACAACACUAGCAACAGCAAGGUUAUAGCUUUGAUUCCCAUGAAAUGUGCAUAUUGAUAAAACUGAUAACUUGAAUACACUUUAAGUCGUAUCUUUUUUUAAUUUUUUUUUUUAAAAAAGGUAAAUGUAUAUUUGUAUUGCAUGCCUGUCGACAGCAUGUAAAACAACAACAACAACCUCUUAAACGUCAACAGGGGGCAGUGUUUAGCUUUUAUCAAAAAAGGACUUCUUUCACUGUCUUUGUUUCUAUGUGUGCACCUUAACAAAAUCUUAAACGAAAGAGUAGGCCAGCAAAGGACCAUUACAAUUAAUUUUAUUAUUAUUAUUAUUAUUAUUAUUAUUAUUUAAUAAUACAGACAAACUCACCAGGAUACUGAGUGACACAGCUUGAGAUAUUAGACACUGUUAAAUGUUCCAAGAGAUCAUUUUAUUUUUUAUUUUACAGUAACCACAUUUAACA
ensembl:lncRNA